UUUUUUUUUUUUUUUGUUAAAUAAUUAUAACAAUUAAUGUGAAAAUAGAGUAACUGUUCUCUAACUAUUAAAUUCAGUUCAGUUAGUACAAUAUAUAAUAUAUAAUAAAAUAAAUAUAUAUUUGUAUAUACUUCAACAAAGUAUUGAAAUUUGGUUUUUAUAUUAUUUUAAUUUGACAUAUAUAUUUCACCUAAAACGAGAAUUCGCUCUACCUUUUAAUUUAUACCAAUUACAUUGUGAUUUGGAGGAGAAGGAUAAUCGGAUGAGUCUGGAAAGAUCGGUGGGACUGCAGUAUCGUAGAAGCUGAAGAGAGUGGUAAAUGAUUGUGAAUUUAAUUUAUUAACACGAAAUCAAACAGAAUAUAGUUUUAGGUAUGUGUUUUCAUUUGUAAACAUAAAAUCAAGAUGCAUGGUUUUCGGUAAGAAAUAUAGCAAUUUUGAAAAAUGAUUAACAUUUUAUUACAAAGUAUUAAAAAACACAUAACAAUUGUAACUACCAUUUGACUAAAAAUUUUAAUUAAGUUUACUAGAAUUCAAUAAGAACGUUAUAACUAUCUAAUUAAAAGAACUUCAGAUAAAUACUUGAGAUAAUACAAUCAAAUAAAAAGAAAAAUGUUUAAUGUUUAAUGUACAAUUGAAUUAAAUUCUGAGUUGAGCUAGGAAUAUUUUGUUUUAUUUUUCUACUUGUUCAGUGAUGUUUAAAAAAGAACAUUGAACAUUUUCUGUAAUAUAAAUCAAGUCUGGAUGAUAAUUUAAAGAGUUAUUUUCAAUUGUUUUUGUAAGCAUAAAUAAAAACUAUCAACAAUCGUUGGAAAUAUUUAAACAAAUUAAAGUUUUUCAAAACAUAGAUGAGAUCAGUUCAGAAUCGAUAUUGAGUGAAAUUAUACCCAACACAACAUUUUUUAACGUGCUUCUAAUAAAUUAUAAACUAUAAAUAUUAAAAUAUUUUUUUCUGAAAAUGCAAUUUAUUUAUGGAUACGUACUAGCAUGCAGUAUUUAGCUCUUAAAAAAACAAAUGCAUUUAAAUGCUAAACAAGCACUGUACUAAAAUUGAUCAUUAAUAACUUUGAAUGAGAUAAGUAUAAUACAAUUUCAAGUAAAAAUUACAGUACGUGACAAAUUAAAUUGUAGAUUCGUUACCACUCGCUUUAUUUACCACAGAUCGGUACCGCCAUGAGAUUUGAUAUUAAAUUUGAAUGCAAUAAUAAAUCAUCGCGUCCAUAAAACGAUUCUACUCAAAACUCGAUUUAAAUCAAGUUGCGAGCAUUUCUUCAAAAUUGUUUUACUCUUCUCAGUAGUUUUUCUUUAUGCUUAGGCAAACUUUAAAGAAAAUCAAAUAUAGACUCGAUUUCCGAACUUUUUAAUGUGCUACAUGAAACGAUUGAAAGCACUCUAUCAACUCAAAACGUGUUCGCAAAAAAAAAAGUUUAGGUACAAAUAAACAAAAUUAUAACCAUUCAUAAAUGUUAUCUUUGUUUUAUUUUACUUUAGAAAUUAAGCCAAUCUUAAAGGUUCAAUAUAUUUAUGUAAUUUAUUACUUAAUAUAAUAUAACAUUAGUAUAUGGAAAUAUGUGACACAAUAUUAUAUAUAAAUAAAUGUAUUCUUACAAAAAUAAAUAAAAAAUUAUUUGAAUUAUGAUAGUGUGCAAUUUUAAUUUUAAAAUUAAUUUAUUCAAGUAAAAUCAAUUUUUAAUAAGUUUGAUGGUCCAUUCACUACUACCCCUAGAGUAAAGUAGAGUAAAGUAAGCCAUAGCGUACUAAAAAUGAUUAUUAGUUCUUGAGUAUUUUAAUAAUAUUUAAAUAUCUUGGAAAUAUUAUUACUAUGAAGUAUAAUUAUACAAUGAACA